ensembl:lncRNA
GUCAUGUGGGGUGGUCACGUGGGGGGCUGUUGGGUCACGUGGGAGGGGCUACGGGGUCACAUGAGGGGCUACAGGGGUCACAUGAGGGGUCAUGCGAGGGGCUGUGGGGUCACGUGGGCGGUCACGGUGGGGGGCUUCGGGGUCACGUGGGGGUCUGUGGGGUCACGUGAGAGGUCACGUGGGGGGGGCUAUGGGGUCACGUGAGUGGUCACAUGGGGGGCUAUGGGGCCACGUGAGGGGCUGUGGGGUCACGUGAGGGGUCACAUGGGGGGCUAUGGGGUCAUGUGAGGGGCUGUGGGGUCACAUGGGGGGUCACGUGGGGGGCUACGGGGUCACGUGGGGGUCACAUGGGGGGCUAUGGGGUCGCAUGGGGGGCUAUGGGGUCAUGUGAGGGGCUACGGGGUCACAUGAGGGGUCAUGUGAGGGGGUGUGGGGUCAUGUGGGGGGUCACGUGAUGGGCUAUGGGGUCACGUGAGGGGCUACAGGGUCACGUGAGGGGCUGUGGGGUCACAUGAGAGGUCACAUGGGGGGCUAUGGGGUCAUAUGGGGGGGCGAUGGGGUCAUGUGAGGGGCUGUGGGGUCACGUGGGGGGGGCUACGGGGUCAUGUGAGGGGUCACGUGGGGAUCUGUGGGGUCAUGUGAGGGGUCACGUGGGGGGGCUGUGGGGUCACGUGAGGGGCUGUGGAGUUAUGGGAGGGGUCACGGGUGGGGUCAUGGGGUCACGUGAGGGGCUGUGGGGUCACGUGGGGGGUCACUUGGGCGGCUGUGGGGUCACGUAGGGGUCACGUGAGGGGCUACGGGGUCUCCUGGGGGGCUGUGGGGUCACGUGAGGGGUCACGUGAGGGGCUGUGGGGUCACAUGGGGGGUCACGUGGGUGGUCACGUGAGGGGGGCUAUGGGGUCACGUGAGGGGUCAUGUGAGGGGCUACGGGGUCACGUGAGUGGGUGUGGGGUCACGUGGUGGUUACGGGGUCACGUGGGGGGGCUUGGGGUCACGUGAGGGGUCACGUGAGGGGCUACGGGGUCAUGUGAGGGGCUGUGUGGUCAUGUGGGGGGUCACGUGGGGGGCUACGGGGUCACAUGAGAGGUCACGUGAGGGGUCACGUGGGCGGGCUGCGGGUCACGGGAGGGUUACGGGUCACAUGAGGGGUCACGUGAGGGGCUGUGGGGUCA